UACGGAGGAUGCAAGCGUUAUUCGGAAUGAUUGGGCGUAAAGCGUCCGCAGGUGGCUGUGUAAGUCUGCUGUCAAAGAGCGAAGCUCAACUUCGUAAAGGCAGUGGAAACUACACGGCUAGAGUGCGUUCGGGGCAGAGGGAAUUCCUGGUGUAGCGGUGAAAUGCGUAGAGAUCAGGAAGAACACCGGUGGCGAAGGCGCUCUGCUAGGCCGCAACUGACACUGAGGGACGAAAGCUAGGGGAGCGAACAGG
rnacentral:rRNA from 1 species